GUUCAUGUAUGUUUAGUUACAUGUAUAAUACAUGGAGAUAAUUAAAAUACGAAAGCAAACCCUAGCUACAAAAAUGAGGGUGGGCAGGGACAAGUUUUCCUGUUAUGGGGGCCUAAAACAAUAGUUGCUAUUCCUCAUUAUCCUUGGGCAUUAAUGCCCGGUGGGACCAAAUACUCACCGAACCCCAAGAAAAGAUGACAUAACUCAACCUUCCCUUAGCUAACUUUAAUCUUUC
rnacentral:misc_RNA from 1 species